ensembl:misc_RNA Metazoa_SRP Metazoan signal recognition particle RNA
GCCAGGUGUGGUGGCUCACACCUGUAAUUCCAGCACUUUGGGAGGCUGAGGCGGGUGGAUCACCUGAGGUCAGGAGUUCGAGACCAGCCUGACCAACAUGGUGAAACUCCGUCUCUA